UCCAACACAAAACUUUCAGUACAGUUCAACAUGCAACUCUGACUCAUGAUACUUAUCCCCACAAAAUAUAUCUGUAUGUCUGUCAUGUUUGUGCUAUGUAAAUGGGGCAACUUCAGCGUGCAGCUUUCAAAGACAGUAACAUCUCAUCUAGGAUUCACCAAGAGUAGCAGAUUCAGCAGCUUCAAGUUUUAGAUAUUUGUGGCAGCAUAAUGGAUUCAAAGCACGAGUCUUCCCAGUGGUGUUGUGGGCACUUCACAAGAAUGGCCAUGAGAAAGAAUUUGCCGGCCUAAAAUAGUUCCCUGAAGACCAGCAACAGCAAAAACACCAAAGAGAAAUCCAAAGGAGAAAAGAGAUGAUUCCAAAAGUAGCAGACAGAAAUGACGCCCACAAAAGCCAGCUUGGCCUGCCUGAGAUCUGAGUCUCUGCUACAAGUGCCUUCCCAUGGACUAACAGGGAGACAAAGGCAACUGUGCUCCCAGGCACAGAGGUUUCCUUGAUGG